GAAAAGCACCCUCGCCGAAAGCCCAAGGUUUCCUGCGCAACGUUCAUCGGCGCAGGGUGAGUCGGCCCCUAAGGCGAGGCAGAAAUGCGUAGUCGAUGGGAAACAGGUCAAUAUUCCUGUACCGAUUCUAGAUGCGAUGUGGGGACGGAGAAGGUUAGGUCAGCCAACUGUUGGAAUAGUUGGUUUAAGCGUGUAGGCGUGCCCCUUAGGCAAAUCCGGGGGGCUGAGCUGAGGCGUGACGACGAGGUCUCUUUGAGACCGAAGUGAUUGAUACCCUGCUUCCAGGAAAAGCCACUAAGCUUCAGUCUAGAAUUGACCGUACCGCAAACCGACACAGGUGGGCAGGUAGAAGAUACUAAGGCGCUUGAGAGAACUCAGGAGAAGGAACUCGGCAAAAUUGAUACCGUAACUUCGGGAGAAGGUAUGCCCUGGUAGCUUGUAGGAGAACAUCCGAAGGGCGACGGGGCCGCAGAGAAUCGGUG
rnacentral:rRNA from 1 species